GACGAACGCUGGCGGCGUGCUUAACACAUGCAAGUCGAACGGAAAGGCCCUGCUUGCAGGGUACUCGAGUGGCGAACGGGUGAGUAACACGUGGGUGAUCUGCCCUGCACUUCGGGAUAAGCCUGGGAAACUGGGUCUAAUACCGGAUAGGAGCCAUUUUUAGUGUGAUGGUUGGAAAGUUUUUUCGGUGUAGGGUGAGCUCGCGGCCUAUCAGCUUGUUGGUGGGGUAAUGGCCUACCAAGGCGGCGACGGGUAGCCGGCCUGAGAGGGUGGACGGCCACAUUGGGACUGAGAUACGGCCCAGACUCCUACGGGAGGCAGCAGUGGGGAAUAUUGCACAAUGGGCGCAAGCCUGAUGCAGCGACGCCGCGUGGGGGAUGGCGGCCUUCGGGUUGUAAACUCCUUUCGCUAGGGACGAAGCUUUUUGUGACGGUACCUAGAUAAGAAGCACCGGCUAACUACGUG
rnacentral:rRNA from 1 species